UACGGAGGGUGCAAGCGUUGCUCGGAAUUAUUGGGCGUAAAGCGCACGCAGGCGGCAAAGUAAGUCAGAUGUGAAAUUCCCGGGCUUAACUUGGGAUCUGCAUCUGAUACUGCCUUGCUUGAGUACGGAAGAGGGGAGCGGAAUUCCCAGUGUAGAGGUGAAAUUCGUAGAUAUUGGGAGGAACACCGGUGGCGAAGGCGGCUCCCUGGUCCGAUACUGACGCUCAUGUGCGAAAGCGUGGGGAGCAAACAGGG
rnacentral:rRNA from 1 species